rnacentral:rRNA from 1 species
AUGCUGACAUGAGUAGCGAUAAAGAGGGUGAGAGACCCUCUCGCCGAAAGACCAAGGGUUCCUGCGUAAAGCUAAUCUGCGCAGGGUUAGUCGGCCCCUAAGGCGAGGCCGAAAGGCGUAGUCGAUGGGAACCACGUUAAUAAUCGUGGGCCUGGUGGUAGUGACGGAUCUCGUGUGUUGUAUCUCCUUAUUGGAUUGGAGGUGCAGCGAAGAGGUUCCAGGAAAUAGCUCCACCGUAUAAACCGUACCCGAAACCGACACAGGUGGUCAGGUAGAGAAUACCAAGGCGCUUGAGAGAACUCGGGUAAAGGAACUAGGCAAAAUGGCACCGUAACUUCGGGAGAAGGUGUGCCCUUGUUAGGUGAAGCGACUUGCUCGUGGAGCUGAAGAGGGUUGCAGUGAACUGGUGGCUGCGACUGUUUAUUAAAAACACAGCACUCUGCAAAGACGAAAGUCGACGUAUAGGGUGUGACUCCUGCCCGGUGCUGGAAGAUUAAAUGAUGGGGUGCAAGCUCUUGACUGAAGUCCCAGUAAACGGCGGCCGUAACUAUAACGGUCCUAAGG